rnacentral:rRNA from 1 species
GAUGAACGCUGGCGGCGUGCCUAAUACAUGCAAGUCGAGCGAACAGACGAGGAUCUUGCUCCUCUGACGUUAGCGGCGGACGGGUGAGUAACACGUGGAUAACCUACCUAUAAGACUGGGAUAACUUCGGGAAACCGGAGCUAAUACCGGAUAAUAUAUUGAACCGCAUGGUUCAAUAGUGAAAGACGGUUUUGCUGUCACUUAUAGAUGGAUCCGCGCCGCAUUAGCUAGUUGGUAAGGUAACGGCUUACCAAGGCGACGAUGGGUUACCGACCUGAGAGGGUGAUCGGCCACACUGGGACUGAGACACGGUCCAGACUCCUACGGGAGGCAGCAGUAGGGAAUCUUCCGCAAUGGGCGAAAGCCUGACGGAGCAACGCCGCGUGAGUGAUGAAGGUCUUCGGAUCGUAAAACUCUGUUAUUAGGGAAGAACGAAUGUGUAAGUAACUAUGCACGUCUUGACGGUACCUAGUCAGAAAGCAACGGCUAACUACGUG